GUAUCCAAUCCCGCGAACGAGGCGCUUGCCAAGACCGCAACGCCUUCACUUUUCGGCUUUUACCCACCUUGAACAGCGGGUUAAGCCGAGAACGCGUGAUAACUGCCCACGCCGAUCUGUCUUCUGAUCAAUAAGGUCCACCGCCUCCGGCGGUUGAAUCGUUCAUACGUUCCCCCAAACUGCCCGGCUCUCGCGCUGGGCAUUUUUUUGUAUCUUUCGCCUCCUGGUGAGCCUUCGCAA
rnacentral:misc_RNA from 1 species